rnacentral:tRNA from 1 species
GGUGGAUUGGUUCAGUGGUUAGAGCUUAAGUUUCGUAACCGAAAGGUCGCGGGAUCGAAUCCCGCUAGAUGCUG